rnacentral:rRNA from 1 species
UACGUAGGUGGCGAGCGUUGUCCGGAAUUAUUGGGCGUAAAGAGCAUGUAGGCGGCCUAUUAAGUCGAGCGUGAAAAUGCGGGGCUCAACCCCGUAUGGCGCUGGAAACUGGUAGGCUUGAGUGCAGGAGAGGAAAGGGGAAUUCCCAGUGUAGCGGUGAAAUGCGUAGAUAUUGGGAGGAACACCAGUGGCGAAGGCGCCUUUCUGGACUGUGUCUGACGCUGAGAUGCGAAAGCUAGGGUAGCGAACGGG